UCAGGCCUAACACAUGCAAGUCGAGCGGAAACGAAGAGGUGCUUGCACCUCUGGCGUCGAGCGGCGGACGGGUGAGUAAUGCUUGGGAAUAUGCCUUAUGGUGGGGGACAACAGUUGGAAACGACUGCUAAUACCGCAUGAUGUCUACGGACCAAAGUGGGGGACCUUCGGGCCUCACGCCAUAAGAUUAGCCCAAGUGGGAUUAGCUAGUUGGUGAGGUAAUGGCUCACCAAGGCGACGAUCCCUAGCUGGUUUGAGAGGAUGAUCAGCCACACUGGGACUGAGACACGGCCCAGACUCCUACGGGAGGCAGCAGUGGGGAAUAUUGCACAAUGGGCGCAAGCCUGAUGCAGCCAUGCCGCGUGUGUGAAGAAGGCCUUCGGGUUGUAAAGCACUUUCAGUAAGGAGGAAAGGUUAAGUGUUAAUAGCACUUAGCUGUGACGUUACUUACAGAAGAAGCACCGG
rnacentral:rRNA from 1 species